CGCAUAGCUCAGUUGGUUCAGAGCACUUGGUUUACACCCAAGGGGUCGGGAGUUCGAAUCUCUCUGCGCC
rnacentral:tRNA from 1 species